GUCAGCCAUGAUGGAGGUUGGAACAACAGAAACACACGGUCUACAGAAACAGAGGCGUCAGAUAGUGCAGUGAUGCUGUAGAUGCUGCAGAGGACUGGAACAGACUCUGGAUGAUAGCGAAUGCAGCAGCCAGGAAGGAUAACAUCACAUCCGACACCACAGAGGACAGACGUGCUUCUGCAGCCAGCAGCCAGUACACCGCACAGACAUGGAGAAUAAGGCGUUGGAACUUGACUCUCUGAGUAUUCCAGUGGAGGACACCAGUCAUAGAGAAGGCCAGCCCCCGCCGCAGCCCCAGCAGCAGCCGCCUCAG